AAUAGUUUAACAUACAAAAUAAGUGUAUGAAAUACGAUAUUAUAAUAUUAAGAAAAAUAAUUUAGGAGAAGGGACAUUGUGAGCAAGUGAAAGAGAGGGAGAAAGAAAGUAGGGUUUUGCUGGUUUGGUUUUGUGGACCAACAAAUAUGCCCAAUAACCUAAAUUAUAUAUACAUAUAAUUAGAACUAGGCUACAAUACUAUCAAUAGCACAAAGUUGUUGUUGUUAUUAGGUUUUCGGCCAUUGGAUUAAGAAAUGUCCGGUUAGGAUGAUGUGAGCCCCCUAGGAUUGAGUGAGUUAUUGGUUGAAUAGUAUAAUCUAACGGAUAAAAAUAGUCAAAGGGUUAAAUCUAACAGCGGAAAAUUUGGUAGCACCAAGUGCUUGGUGCUAUCGAUAGUAUCCCAACCGAACUCCAUAUAAUUAAUAUAC
rnacentral:lncRNA from 1 species